GACGAACGCUGGCGGCGUGCUUAACACAUGCAAGUCGAACGGAAAGGCCCUGCUUUUGUGGGGUGCUCGAGUGGCGAACGGGUGAGUAACACGUGAGUAACCUGCCCUUAACUUUGGGAUAACUUCAGGAAACUGGGGCUAAUACCGGAUAGGAGCUCCUGCUGCAUGGUGGGGGUUGGAAAGUUUCGGCGGUUGGGGAUGGACUCGCGGCUUAUCAGCUUGUUGGUGGGGUAGUGGCUUACCAAGGCUUUGACGGGUAGCCGGCCUGAGAGGGUGACCGGCCACAUUGGGACUGAGAUACGGCCCAGACUCCUACGGGAGGCAGCAGUGGGGAAUAUUACACAAUGGGCGGAAGCCUGAUGCAGCAACGCCGCGUGCGGGAUGACGGCCUUCGGGUUGUGAACCGCUUUCGCCUGUGACGAAGCGUGAGUGACGGUAAUGGGUAAAGAAGCACCGGCUAACUACGUG
rnacentral:rRNA from 1 species